CCCUCUUUUAUAUUGGAGGCUCCCUCAAAUACCAUUUUCCUCUUACACAGAGAGUUUUGAGAAGGAAGCGAAGUGCUGGGUUGGUUUCAUAUAUUAAUUGCUUCUAGAGGAGGCAUCCAAAGGGAUCGCAUUGAUCCCAGCUAACUAUUUAUUUCCACCGUUUGGUUUGGAUCAUGCUAUCCCUUUGGAUUUCUCCUUUGGAAGCUUCAAACUUAUUUCUUUAUAUCUUGCAUCAACGACUUCUUACACGUUCAAGGUAUUCGGCCAAACUCGACGGUUUCUUGUUCAGCUGUCUCACUCCCCAACUCUCUCUAACUCCCUCCUUCCAAAAACCCUAGAUCCGAAGACCUACAGCUACCUGCCUCUUGCUCCGGCUUGCGGUCCGCGGCAACCAUUUGCCCCCUAAUUCGAGUCAUGCUUAUCGUUUAUUUUGUCCCCUCCCACACACCGUGCCCCCACUCUCCCACCGCUUCCCCUACCUUCGUGCCAUGCCUCCUUUCCCCCCGCCUCGUCUUUGUCCCCCUACCUUUCCCUUACCUCGCGCCUCUUCCUCCCCCUCACCAUCCCCUCUCCCACAAAUUUUCAAGUAGCUCGCCCUUCCUUUGAUGAAUCUCUUCCUGAGCUCUGGCUUUGCUCUUUUGGGCUAGACCCGUGGGUAUGGGUAAGAUUUGUGGUUGUGGCGGGUUAGAUCCACCUCCCAUGACUCGUUCUCCAGGGUGAUUUUGCGCUCCUCAGGCAGCCUAGCCGCCUUACAUGACCAAACCUGUGGCGGCUCUUGUGGUGAAUGCUAUACAUAUCUCUAGAAGCGCUGUUGGUGUCGUGGAGUCAAGUUUCUUAGUGGUUCCCUUUUCGAAUUAGUUAGUUUUGUUUAAUGUUUUGUGUUAUGUCUCUUCGGCGAGUGUUAUGGCCUCGUUGUUCUAGCGAUGGUGCGAUGUGGCCUAGUUGCUUUAGUUAUGGCUUAUGUGUGCAUUCAGAGCAUGAUUUGUCACGUUUAUAUCUUUUGUGACAUAUUAUAGGACGUGCAUCCAGUUUUUGUGUGUAGUA